ACAGCAGCCGCCGCGGGAAUACAGAGGGUGCGAGCGUUAAUCGGAUUUACUGGGCGUAAAGCGUGCGUAGGCGGCUUUUUAAGUCGGAUGUGAAAUCCCUGAGCUUAACUUAGGAAUUGCAUUCGAUACUGGGAAGCUAGAGUAUGGGAGAGGAUGGUAGAAUUCCAGGUGUAGCGGUGAAAUGCGUAGAGAUCUGGAGGAAUACCGAUGGCGAAGGCAGUUAUCUGACCUAAUACUGACGCUGAGGUACGAAAGCAUGGGGAGCAAACAGGAUUAGAUACCCCCGUAGUCCCUGUCUCUUAUAC
rnacentral:rRNA from 1 species